rnacentral:tRNA from 2 species
AUAAAGUUGGCAGAAAUAUGUGAAUAAUUUAGAAUUAUUUUAUAAAAGGAAAACUUUUACUUUAUAAUUUUAGUA